ACAGCAGUAGCCGCGGUAAUACGAAGGGUGCAAGCGUUACUCGGAAUUACUGGGCGUAAAGCGUGUGUAGGUGGUUGUUUAAGUCUGUCGUGAAAGCCCUGGGCUCAACCUGGGAAUUGCGAUGGAUACUGGGCGACUAGAGUGCGGUAGAGGAUAGUGGAAUUUCCGGUGUAGCAGUGAAAUGCGUAGAGAUCGGAAGGAACAUCUGUGGCGAAGGCGACUAUCUGGGCCAACACUGACACUGAGACACGAAAGCGUGGGGAGCAAACAGGAUUAGAUACCCCCGUAGUCCCUGUCUCUUAUAC
rnacentral:rRNA from 1 species